rnacentral:lncRNA from 1 species
CUGAGGUGUGUUGGUGAGGAUGAGUGGUUCUGUGUUGUAUUCCUCAAAGAUGAACUUGUAUUUAAUCAAAUUAAUCAGGUCUAAUGAGGGCCACCAGUCCUACUAUAAUUGAUGUGAGAAGGCUACAGCUAACAAAGACUCAGAAAAUGUCAGAGGACACUACAUUAACCUUUGCAUACACAUUUUGUUCUCUUUAGUAAGCCUUGUAUACUAUUUGAUAAAUAACUUACAUUUCUUCAAGCAUAUCUUGAACAUACUAUAUUAUUUUUUGCUCGCAUAUAGUUCCACCAACCAGCGCUGUGUUUAACAAGUAGGCCUUCAGUAUCAAUACCUACAGUUGAAUUCGAAAGUUUACAUACACCUUAGCCAAAUACAUUUAAACUCAGUUUUUCACAAUCCCUUACAUUUAAUCCCAGUAAAGAUUCCCUGUCUUAGGUCAGUUAGGAUCACCAUUUUAUUUUAAGAUUGUGAAAUGUCAGAAUAAUAGUAGAGAGAAUGAUUCACUUCAGCUUUUAGUUCUUUCAUCACAUUCCCAGUGGGUCAGAGGUUUUCAUACACUCAAUUAGUAUUUGGUAGCAUUACCUUUAAAUUGUUUAACUUGGGUCAAAUGUUUCAGGUAGCCUUCCACAAGCUUCCCACAAUAAGUUGGGUGAAUUUCAGCCCAUUUCUCAUUUACAUUUUAGUCAUUUAGCAGACGCUCUAAUCCAGAGCGACUUUUUUGUACUGGCCCCCAGUGGGAAUUGAACCCACAAUGCUGGCAUUGCAAACACCAUGCUCUACCAACUGAACCACAGGGAAGACCGAGCUGGAGUAACUGGAGCUGGAGUAACUGGAGCUGGAGUAACUGAGUCAGAUAACCAUGGUUGACAGAGGAAGAACAAUGAUUCCAAGCACCACCCUCCUUUUGAAGCUUCCAGUCUGUUUUUCGAACUCAAUCAGUAUGACAGAGUGAUCUCCAGCCUUGUCCUCGUCAACACUCACACCUGUGUUAACGAGAGAAUCACUGACAUGAUGUCAGCUGGUCCUUUUGUGGCAGGGCUGAAAUGCAGUGUAAAUGUUUUUGGGGGCUUCAGUUCUUUUGCAUGGCAAAGAGGGACUUUGCAAUUAAUUGCAAUUCAUCUAAUCACUCUUCAUAACAUUCUGGAGUAUAUGCAAGUUGCCAUCAUACAAACUGAGGCAGCAGACUUCGUGAAAAUUAAUAUUUGUGUCAUUCUCAAAACUUUUGGCCACGACUGUAGAAGACCCUCAUGCCAAAUUGAGUCAAAGGUUUUUGAAAUCAACAAAGCAUGUGAAGACUUUGCCUUUGUUUUGGUUUGUUUGUUUGUCAAUUAGGGUGUGCAGGGUUUACACAUGGUCUGUCGUACGGUAAUUUGGUAAAAAGCCAAUUUGACAUUUGCUCAGUACAUUGUUUUCUCUGAGGAAAUGUACGAGUCUGUAUUUUCCCAAAGUUGCUGUUGACGCAUAUCCCACGGUGGUAAUUGGGGUCAAAUUUGUCUCCACUUUUGUGGAUUGGGGUGAGCAGGCCUUGGUUCCAAAUAUUGGGAUAUAUGCCAGAGCUAAGGAUGAUGUUAAAGAGUUUAAGUAUAGCCAAUUGGAAUUUGUUGUCUGUAUAUUGUAUCAAUUCAUUGAGGAUACCAUCAACAGCACAGGCCUUUUUGGGACGGGGGGGUUUGUAUUUUGUCCUGUAGUUCAUUCAAUGUAAUGGGAGAACUGUGGGUUCCGGUAGUCUUUAAUAGCUGAUUCUAAGAUUUGUAUUUGAUCAUUUGUGUUUUUGCUGUUUGUUCUUUGUUAAAGGGCCAAAAAUAUGGUUUACCCAUACAUCUCCAUUUUGGAUAGAUAACUCUUUGUGUUGUUGUUUGUUUAAUGUUUUCCAAUUUUGGAUUCUUCAAUUACAUUGAGCUGAUUUCUGACGUGCUGUUCCUUCUUUUUCUAUUGUAUUUCUGUAUUGUUUUAGUGAUUAACCACAGUGAUAGGGAAGCUGAGAGGUCAAAUAUAUUGUCUAGAUUUUCUACUGCCAAGUUGUAACGGUUUUGACUUGAGGUUAUUGUUUGUAGGGGUGCCAGGUAGGUUGUGCCUACCAGAGAAAAUAUUGAUUUCUCCUUUUGAUUUGGGAGGGAAUGAGUCCCGUCUGGUCCGUCAAGUCUACACCAAUACAAAGGACUCAUGUAAAAGUCAGUAUGGAAACACUUUCACAAACCUUUAAAACGUUGGAAAUAACUUCAAAACAAAUGUGUUAUUUUCCGUGGGUUGUAUUACAACAUAAAUUGUAAUAUAAUGGCCUUCCCUGUGGCUCAGUUGGUAUAGCAUGGUGUUUGCAAUGCCAGCAUGGUGUGUGCAACGCCAGGGUUGUGGGUUCAAUUCCCACGGGGGGCCAGUAAAUAAUACAAAAUUUAAAAAAAUGCAUGAAAUGUAUGCAUUCACUACUGUAAGUCACUCUGGAUAAGAGCAUCUGCUAAAUGACUAAAAUGUAAAAAUAAAUGAUCACAAACAAACAAUGAGCUCUGGUUCCUCCAGAAAAGUCCUGUACCUCGGACCUAAAAGAGUCCAGCCCAGUAAAGGAGUUCAGGGAACUCAAGUGACCUUAGUCAAGCAAUGUUUGUCCUUUCAUAAAAUUGUAGCGUAAACCCAGUCUUCAAUCAAAAUAUCAAACUCUUUUACCACACAACCAUAAAGAGUAUCAAAUCGCAACACAUCUUCAACUACAACUGACCACAUCAAUCAUCACGGUAUACAUCACACUAAAACAAAUGAAACACUGUAUGCAAAAAAGUUGUAGUCAGUCAGACAAUCCAAUCUGCCAACAGAGGAGAAAGGCCAUGAAGAACCAGCAGAGACCAACUGAGAGGUGAAGUCCAAAGGAAGCAAUGAGUGGAUACAAUCCUGGUCAAAAUUGAGACAAGGCUAAAGCACAAUUUUAAAUACAACAAAACAAACGGAGUAAAGAAGAUUCGGAACUGAGGGUUCAACACAUCCUCAUUCGCACCACCAUCACAAAACCCACUUUUGCGCAGCUGAUGCUGGCUAUUAAAUUGGGAAUUAACUUUUUAAGGUAUAGGAGGCAGUAUUUUCAUUUUCGGAUGAAAAGCGUGCCCAGAGUAAACUGCCUAAUACUCGGGCCCAGAGUCAAAUAUGUGCAUAUUAUUAGUAGAUUUGGAUAGAAAACACUCGGAAGUUUCUAAAACUGUUUGGAUGAUGUCUGUGAGUAUAACAGAACUCAUAUGGCAGGCAAAAACCUGACAAAAAUCCAACCAGGAAGUGGGAAAUCUGAGAAUUGUAGUUCUUCUUUUGAAUCCCUAUCGGAACUACAGUGUCUGUGGGGUCACGUUACACUUCCUAAGGCUUCCAUUGGCUGUCAACAGCCUUUAGAAACGUGUUUCAUCCUUCUCCUUUUACUGGGCAGAAAAUAGGAGCUCAGUCAAUGAGUGGACUGCCUGGGACCAGUGAGUUGUUUACUGCGCGGGUACGUUUAGCGCGCCGCUCCUUCUUUUUCCUCUGUAAUGAAUACGCUAUUGUCCGGUUGGAAUAUUAUCGAUAUGUUAAAAAGACCCUAAGGAUUGAUUGUAAACAACGUUUGACAUGUUUCUACGAACGGUAAUGGAACUAUUUGAGUUUUUGUGUCUAGAUUUACGCUCGCGCGUUAUGCCUUUGGAUAGUGAUCUGAACGCACGAACAAAACAGAUGUAUUUGGACAUAAAUAUGGAGUAUUUAGAACAAAAAUAACAUUUCUUGUGGAAGUAGGAAUCCUGGGAGUGCAUUCUGACGAAGAUCAGCAAAGGUAAGAGAAUAUUUAUAAUACUAAUUCUGAGUUUAGUUGACCCCAGAACUUGGCGGGUAUCUGUAUAGCUUGCUUCGAUGGCUGAGCUAUGUACUCAGAAUAUUGAAAAAUGUGCUGUCUCUGUAAAGCUAUUUUAAAAUCUGACACAGCGGUUGCAUUUAGGAGAAGUAUAUCUAUAAUUCUUUCAAUAACUGUUGUAAAUUUUAUCAACGUUUAUGAUGAGUAUUUUUGUAAAUUGAUGUGCUCAUUCACCGGCGGUUUUGGCGGGAAUACAUUUUCUGAACAUCACGCGCCAAUGUAAAUUGGAUAUAAAUAUGAACUUUAUCGAGCAAAACAUACAUGUAUUGUGUAACAUUGAGUCCUGGGGGUGUCAUCUGAUGAAGAUCAUCAAAGGUUAGUGAUUAAUUUUAGCUGUAUUUCUGUUUUUUGUGACGCCUCUCCUUGCUUGGAAAAUGGCUGUGUGGUUUUUCUUGUUUAGGCGCUGUCCUAACAAUCUAAUGUUAUGCUUUCGCCGUAAAGCCUUUUUGAAAUCAGACAAUGUGGUUGGAUUAACGAGAAGAUUAUCUUUAAAAUGGGAUAUGAUAGUUGUAUGUUUGAGAAAUUUGAAUUAUGAGAUUUUUGUUGUUUUGAAUUUGCCGCCCUGCUAUUUCACUGGCUGUUGGCAGUGUGUCCCGCGGGUGGAUUUGGGGUUAUACCACCUACCAGGUAUAACCCCAAAUCCGUAACCACAGGCACACUAUUAGAUAUCCUCCUGACCAACUUGUCCUCUAAAUACACCUCUGCUAUCUUCAACCAUGAUCUCAGCGAUCACUGCCUCACUGCCUGAGUCCGUAAUGGGUCCGUGGUCAAACGACCACCCCUCAUCUCUGACAAACGCUCUGUAAACACUUCAGUGAGCAGGCCUUUCUAAUAGACCUGGUCCUGGUAUCCUGGAAGGAUAUUGACAUCAUCCCGUCAGUAGAGGAUGCCUGGUUGCUCUUUAAAAGUGCUUUCCUCACCAUCUUAAAUGAGCAUGCCCCAUUCAAAAAAUUUAGAACUAAGAACAGAUAUAGCCCUUGGUUCACCCCUGACCUGACUGCCCUUGAACAACACAAAAACAUCCUGUGGCGUUCUGCAUAAGCAUAGAAUAGCCCCCACGAUAUGCGGUUCUUCAGGGAAGUCAGGAACCAAUGUACACAGUCAGUUAGGAAAGCUAAGGCUAGCUUUAUCAAACAGAAAUUUGCAUCCUGCAGCACUAAUUCCAAAAAGUUCUGGGACACUGUAAAGUCCACGGAGAAUAAGAGCACUUCCUCCCAGCUGCCCACCGCACUGAGGCUAGGAAACGCUGAG